rnacentral:lncRNA from 1 species
UUCUUGGUUCUGGUUGUUAGCAGACACAAGAGAGAGGUGUGAGAUGCAGCCAAGCUGGAGAGCCUCGGGGAGAAGAGGUGUGGACUGUGGAGUUAUUCUUUCAAGGCCAAUAACACUUCAUUCUGUAAUAGGUGCGUUUUAGUCUGCUCGCGGAGACAAAGAGGCUGUUCGGUGACAAAAAGUCACGAAACUGCAGUUUCCUGGCAUCAGACAUGAGAAUGGAGAUAUUAUGAUAGUUCUAUUCUGUUUGUUGAAGAGGGACGUGGUUUUUAAGAUCCAAUCAAAUAAGAUGUAUCUUAAAUUAGAUAUGUACACAAGGAGAUAGUUGAACCAGAUGGUGUUUUGACGACUACCAGGUAAAUUCUAUCUGAUGUUUUGUAUAUGGCUAGUUGGUUUCCAUGAGGAAGGAUGAUGCAACUUUUUUUUUUUCAUCUCUUCUCAAUUUUUUUAAUGUCAGGGUGCCGAACGGACCGGUUGGGUCGGAUAUGGGACGGGUGAAUAACUGGUAAUGGAAAAACGGAUAAAUUAUCCGACAUGACCCACAUUUAAUACGGAUAGAGAACGGGUUAACCGACGGAUAAUGAUAAUAUAAGUAACUAUAUUAUCCAUGACUUCUUGAAUAUGAUCACUUUUGAGAGACUUCUUAGUCUUUCAAACUUGAGGAACCCCCAAUUUGAGGCUUUACAAAUAUAAAAGUUAAAACACAUUAGUUAUCCAUUGAUUAACAUUUUUUAAAUGGAUAAUAUGGCUCUUUAUCCAUAUUUGACCCGUUUCAAAAAUUCAUUAUCCAACCCAUUUUUAGUAGAUAAUAUGGGUGGUUAACUGAUUUCUUUUAACCAUUUUACCACCUCUACUAUGAAGUAUUUAGGUGAUAGGGUUACGAGAUAUGUCUGUUAUCAGAAUAUUUGAAGACUGAUCUCCAUAUGCUUGUUAAGUUGUUCUGUUGUUGGGUCAUAUUUACACAUUUUAGGUUCAUAUCUUUU